GAUGAAGAACGUAGCGAAAUGCGAUAAGUAAUGUGAAUUGCAGAAUUCAGUGAAUCAUCGAAUCUUUGAACGCACAUUGCGCCCCCUGGUAUUCCGGGGGGCAUGCCUGUUCGAGCGUCAUUUCACCACUCAAGCCUCGCUUGGUAUUGGGCAACGCGGUCCGCCGCGUGCCUCAAAUCGACCGGCUGGGUCUUCUGUCCCCUAAGCGUUGUGGAAACUACUCGCUAAAGGGUGCUCGGGAGGCUACGCCGUAAAACAAACCCAUUUCUAAGGUUGACCUCGGAUCAGGUAGGGAUACCCGCUGAACUUAAGCAUAUCAAUAAGCGGAGGA
rnacentral:misc_RNA from 1 species